ACACUCCUGCGGGAGGCAGCAGUGGGGAAUUUUGGACAAUGGGCGAAAGCCUGAUCCAGCAAUGCCGCGUGAGUGAAGAAGGCCUUCGGGUUGUAAAGCUCUUUUGUCAGGGAAGAAACGGUGAAAGCUAAUAUCUUUUGCUAAUGACGGUACCUGAAGAAUAAGCACCGGCUAACUACGUGCCAGCAGCAGCGGUAAUACGUAGGGUGCAAGCGUUAAUCGGAAUUACUGGGCGUAAAGCGUGCGCAGGCGGUUUUGUAAGUCUGAUGUGAAAUCCCCGGGCUCAACCUGGGAAUGGCAUUGGAGACUGCAAGGCUAGAAUCUGGCAGAGGGGGGUAGAAUUCCACGUGUAGCAGUGAAAUGCGUAGAUAUGUGGAGGAACACCGAUGGCGAAGGCAGCCCCCUGGGUCAAGAUUGACGCUCAUGCACGAAAGCGUGGGGAGCAAACAGGAUUAGAUACCCCAGUAGUCCC
rnacentral:rRNA from 1 species